rnacentral:tRNA from 1 species
GGUGAAGUAGUAUAAGAAAGUAUGUGUGGUUUCGGCCCAUGAGGUGAGCUUUUGUUCCUUUGCUU